AAACAACGUGCCCAGCCUGUGCAGAAGGGCUGAGCCUCCAGUUCCUGUCCAGCUCCUGACACAAAACCCUGUGCUUCCUCUCCAUCUCUGGAGCCUUGUAAGACCCUUCCUCUUCCCAGCAUAUCAAAUUGCAGCUGUCUCGAGCUGACUGGCAGCAAAUUGCUGCUCCCGAGUCUGCCCUUGGGUUUUUUCCAAGCAGAAGGAAAAGGCUGGAAGGUGCCGGUCUCUGCGGUCGCAGCUGUCCCAGCGAGCUCAUUUCUGCCCUGCUGAGAGACGCCGGCAGCCUGCGGGCGGGGCCGGGGAGCACCCUGUCAGGUGGGCAUGGUGCCUGCCUUCCCCAGCCCGACGGGAACAGACAGGCACAAAGCAGGUUCCAGGCCAGCUCUAUGACUGUGCUGUCCCCAGGGAAGGAAGGGUCCUCCUGCCACGCUGGCUA
rnacentral:lncRNA from 1 species